UACGUAGGGGGCAAGCGUUGUCCGGAAUCAUUGGGCGUAAAGAGCGCGUAGGCGGUCCGGUAAGUCCGCUGUGAAAGUCAAGGGCUCAACCCUUGAAUGCCGGUGGAUACUGUCGGGCUAGAGUCCGGAAGAGGCGAGUGGAAUUCCUGGUGUAGCGGUGAAAUGCGUAGAGAUCGGGAGGAACAUCAGUGGCGAAGGCGGCCUUCUGGACCAGUACUGACGCUGAGGCACGAAAGCGUGGGGAGCAAACAGG
rnacentral:rRNA from 1 species